CGCAUCACGCACACUAGCCCGUGAGUAGUUAGCUCAAUUGCACCAGAAGAACUCCCAUCGCCCACAAAAUCAAUCUGCCCUGUUCUUCGCACGGCCGUGAAGAACUCCACCGUGGCCAGCACUCCUCGGGUUAGUAAUUUCCCAAUUGCUUCCUAUUCUAGUCUAUUUAUAGCCCCCUAUUGCUCUCAUAGUCAACCAAUUGAAAUUCGGCAGAAGCCUUUCACCGGAACACUCCUCUGUUCCGUAGAACGCCGCCGUGACACCCCCUCUGUAGACCCACUCUUCUGCUCUUGUUUUGCCCGAAUUAAAGCGUGUACCUAACCUCUGGUGAACAUGGGAACCUUUCCCCAGCCUCAAUUUGGUCAUCCACACCGUCGGUUAGUCGGAACGCGUUCAUCCAUAUGACCAUCCGCACUGUCGCCAUGAUCUGGUUGAUUCAAAGCCCCAUUGGUAAAAUUGUUUGAGGGGAAAUGCGCGGGAGAGGUCCAAUUCAAUGUCUGCCACGCGGGAGCUCCAGCCGUGGCAGUAUACAGCCGGCGCAAGCUCGCUGGAGCGCGGGCCGACGUCGCUCGUCGACAUGGACCUCGGUCUGCAAAGAAUUAGAAGGGGGGGGGGGUUCUGCGAACUGUUAGCGACUCCCGAAAAUAGUGCUAGUGCUCAUUUCAGAUUAUCCAGAAUGUCGUGGGUCUUUUUGCAAAGUCGCCACGGGCGCGCGGGCGCGCUUCCGCCCAUAGUUGGGCCGCCUCGGCUGGAUUCGGCCCAGGACUGUUCAUCCCUUUUUCUUUUCUUUUUCUACCAAGGCUAAAACAAUUUUAGAAAAUUGCAGAAAAAUGUCAAACCAAUUUUCCUAGAUUCCUUAUUUUCCAUAGUAUUUAUUAAAAAUAGUUUCAUGAUUUUAGGUCGAAUAAGGAAUUUUGGAGCAUUUAUAAUAGCCUAAAACAUUGGUUCUAGAUUUUUAGAAAAUAGAUAAUAGUUCCAAAAAAUCUCCAAACUUUUUAUUUGAACUCUAAAUAUUAUUUAGAAGCCUUGGGUAGAAUUUGGUUUGAUUUGGACCUUGUUUGAUGCUUAGAACCCAAAACCCUACCCUCCUGCUCUUUGAACUUCACUGUUGACUCCGGAAACCCUAAGUUCUUGGAGUUCCGUGAAGGAAAGUUGUAUUCAAGACUUUAGAUAAUAAACUCUUAUUAUCUUUGCACUCUCAUGAGCAUUACAUGGCAUUCAUUCUUAUAUAUAUAUAUAUAUGGUUAUAUUUAGAAAACGAGGAAGAAGUUGAAGUAGAUGAAGAGAAGACUUCACCACCACCACCUGCGGAACAUCAGGCAGGAAAUUGUUUUUACUUUGACAUCUGCGGAUCCGAGCCUGACUCACCUAUAAACGAAGGCAAGCCCCGGUGCAUUUGCCACCUCCUUGAUGCUUUUAAAAUCUUUCUCACUUGCUUGAUGCAUUAGGUGAUAGGGGUUGAUUGCUAAAACAAUUCCUGCAUUACCUUCCUUGAAUUUGAUUACCUUCCUUGAUCAUCGUUUUACAAAAGAUUUUUGAUGCUUAUCCUUGCUUUAGAAAAACAAAAUGUUUUGUUUUCACAAAAGAUGAUGUGGCAAAGUGGGUGGGAUGUUUUUGAAAAUAAAACUUGAUGUUGGAUGUACCUCUGCCAGGUACCAAACUUUGGGUUGAAAUGAUUAAGCUGAGACCGGGCGGGUGACUUGCACGAGAAGAGAGUCUCGAUGUAGUGUCUCUGUCUGAGUCGAUUAAGGACUGUCUCGAUGUAGGUUUGCUGACCGAGGACCCUUUAACUGGUCACAUGCCUCGUCAUGGGUAAGCUUUGCCUCGGGCAGACUAAGGCCAGAAUAAGAUAACACGCAAUGGCAGUGGAGCGAUGGCGAGAGUAGCGUGUACCCUCCGUGGCAAGAGGCUGGACGGUGGUGUAUCUGUGCUCUCGGUUGACGUGAACCUGAUCUGGUCUUAAGAACCCCGAUGGCGGGUUGACAUAUGCAAGGGUUAAGUGCUACAUAUGUCGUGUGAUCGGAGAUCCUCAGCUGAGUAUAAUCGAUUCGGAUCGCCGUACCUUCGCGGUUAUGAAGACUUGGUCACUGACUUAUACGUAGAACUCCAGUAAAGAUUAAGGGUUGUUAUGAAAUUGGCUAGUGCAGGUCAAGUGUUUGAACUAGGGUAGAAAGAACUCUAGUUGCAGGUAAUCUUACUUAACCUGACAAAUAAAACUGGAUUUUUAAGGAUCCACUUCUAGUAAGCAUUUCUGCAAAACAGAGUCAUUGAUCAUUGAGAAACCUUACCUUGACUCCCUUAUAACCAGCAUACCCUUAAGAGUCUUUUCUUUAGUCGGGUAAGACUUGCUGAGUAAUUCCAUACUCAGGGUUUUAUUCCCCGUUGUUUUUAGGUGAGGAAGCAACCAACUUUUGUUGCUUCUGUUCUAAGGUGGUACCGAAGGAAGAGCACCAGGAGUAAAGCUGCGAGAGGAAAGGAUCCUCCAUAAAAACUUUUGUUUGAUACUUAUCGAGAGGGGUUUUUGCCUCCCUUGGUGUGUAAUAAUAUUACUCUGCACUCAUAGAUUAUAUUCUGGUCUGUAAAUAUUCAACUAUAUCUUACUUUUAAAUAAAGGUAAGUUAAUGUAAUUGCUUCCACAUUCUUGUAACUCCGAUGCUUGUAAUGUCUGCGUGACGGGUGAAACGCUCUUGGGAAAGGA
rnacentral:lncRNA from 1 species